rnacentral:rRNA from 1 species
AUUGAACGCUGGCGGCAGGCCUAACACAUGCAAGUCGAGCGGAUGAAGGGAGCUUGCUCCUGGAUUCAGCGGCGGACGGGUGAGUAAUGCCUAGGAAUCUGCCUGGUAGUGGGGAAUAACGUCCGGAAACGGACGCUAAUACCGCAUACGUCCUGAGGGUGAAAGUGGGGGAUCUUCGGACCUCACGCUAUCAGAUGAUCCUAGGUCGGAUUAGCUAGUUGGUGGGGUAAAGGCCUACCAAGGCGACUAUCCGUAACUGGUCUGAGAGGAUGAUCAGUCACACUGGAACUGAGACACGGUCCAGACUCCUACGGGAGGCAGCAGUCGGGAAUAUUGGGCAAUGGGCGAGAGCCUGAUCCAGCCACGCCGCGUGUGUGAAGAAGGUCUUCGGAUUGUAAAGCACUUUAAGUUGGGAGGAAGGGCCGUAAAUUUAUACCUUGCUAUUUUGACGUUACCAACAGAAAAAGCCCCGGCUAACUUCGUG